GGAAUAGUUCAGCACUUUCUUUCCUCAUAUAUCUGUAUUUUUAAGUCUUGUGGAAACUGUAAAUGGACGAACCUGCUCUCAGACUCGUCAGUCCAGUCCUCGUUUGCUGACCUGACACCUUCCACUGUUCGUUUUUUCAAGACUUGAGUAUUCGUCUAAGUGUUUUUCGACGGUGCUUGCAUAAUCAAAAAGAAUGCAAAUCCCGUACUUCAACAUGUUUUGGUUUAACGUUGCACUCUGGACAAUCCUUCUCCUGUUUUAUAUAGCUUAUUCUACAGCUUGGGUCGUCGAUCAAUGCAUCAUCUGCUGUAGAGGGAAGAAAAAGCAUCAGAAGUGUUCCCAUUCUAUAGAAAUGACAAGGGUCCAGGAUACUCUCUCGGACGACCGUCCUCAGGCCGAAGCAGAGGUUUGCCCUCGCCACUCGACAACCUGCUCUACCCUCAAUGGACGUCAAGGCCUUCCUCAAGACGGGCAUACUCCGCGUCUUCUUCAAACUGAAGAAGUAAGUGUAGCCUCGUCAGUAUCUAGAUGAUGAGACUGCAAUUCUAGACAUCUGAGAAUGAGAAAAUGGGACUUCCGGUAGCAGAAUCUCCAACGGAUUUUAAACUGAGAGAGCAUUUGGAAAAAUAGACAAGGAACUUCACGAUAUGAUGGUAAUUGAUGCGGUAGUUUACUGUUGACUGGACGAAGAGUGUGAGCAUUGCAAGAUUAUAGAUUCUUACUACGGCAAAUUGCUGAUGCUGCGAUUAUCCGGGAAAACUAAAUCCCAGGAAGGUAUCUUUCGACAUUCUAUCAGCGUUGCCUUCCUGGAGUUCGUUCAUGGUCACUAAUUCAGAGUCCCCCUAAUUUUAAUGUUAAUUCAGGGACGGUAAGAAUUAUGCUAAGUUGUAAGGUAGACGGCAGCAAAUUUGUAAAGUCUUGUAACCACAGGUUACACUGCUUCAGUGUUCAGCUCAAGUCCUUUUGUCUACUUGUAUAUCCAUCAUUAAGGGCGUAUUAUAUACUGCUUAAGAGUAUUCAGCAGCAAAAUUAUUUUGAACUGAAUGUGUUGCCAAGACAAACGGGGCAUUUUUCUGACAGAAUCUCAUCGGCAAUUCUACCUUAUUUCUCUUGAGCAGUCUUGGUUCCUAGCUGAACUGUAAUAUGCCUAGACAAGAAUUUAUUGAACUGUAUGCUUUUAAAUGACUAGAAUGGACUGCAAAUUGUCUAGAAAGAAUUGUUUGUUGUAGGUGUUAGAUGACUAGACUUCGACAAAUUUAAAAGUCCAUAUUUUUAGAUUGAGAUUAUUAGCAUUGUGCAUAUAUUAUAGAAUCUGUAGUUUUGUAAUGAAUGUGAUUUCCAAAUCCUCGCGUAGGACAUAAUUUACUGUAACAGGUUUAUGACAUAUUAAUAAUAACACCAAAUUGGAUUUUGUCUUUAAUAUAUCACAAUAAAGAGACUAUUUAGAUUU